ACCUCCUUUUUGUCUGAGUGUGCUCCAAGUUUGGCAGCACACUCAAGACUGAAAAUGCAAAUAUCCCAUAUCUAUCCACCCAUACAGCCUCUUCUACCGGACCCAUCACAGACAUAUCUGGGAGCUUUUAUUCACAGGAAAUAGGCUGUCUAAGUGUGUCAAACAGCUUUUUGUGAGUCCAAAACAGACUGUACCAGAGCCUGUGUACAUAUAUACCAGAAGUCAUCAGACCCUGUGGUGGACUACAAGGAUGUUGAAAAUGGACAAUCAAGGACAGUGUGCUGUAUGUCAGAAGUAUGGCAGCAAGCAGAACCACAUGAGGAGCAAAUUGCCACAACCACUACACAUCUCAGCCUGUGCAGAAGCAGCUACAUGUAUCUCACAUGUCAGGACAGGGAGGUAUAAGAUUUCACAGAUUUCUUUUGGGAGCAAACAUGAGAACCUGACAUAUGGGGAAAUGUGAGAAAAGUAUGUGCUCAAGUUAUUCAAAAGGAGGUUUUUAAAUAUGCACACAGUAGGUCAGAAACUGGAAUGCACAUAUCAGUUGAACGGCAUUCUCCUCUUCAGCAGAACAUCCAUCACUUGCAUACAGACUUUUCAAAAUAGUUCAAGAGAAUAAUAAAGGGUUUGGU